AGUGCUCUGUGUCAUUUUACACAGCGUGGGAAAGUUCAAUUUUCCCAGCGCUGGGUAAAAUGACACAGAGCAC